GCCCUAUCCGUCGUUUCUUCGCUCCACAAACGUUUACUGAGCGCCUUCAACUUGCCAGGCACUAAUUAGACUAGCGCAGAGAAACGGGGAUAAGUACUGAUGAGGGUCCCAGCCCUCAGCGAUCGGAUUUCAGAGGGGGAGAUAAAGGACUGCCCAGAAGGGUGGUGAGUGGAGUAGUUGAUAUAAACAACGAGGUGCGAUGAAAUACACAGGAGGGCUGCUAAUCACAUAUGGGGUGGGUGCCGAGGGCCCUUAAUUAAGGGAGGCUUCCUGGACGGGUGACACCCAAGCGGAGUCCUGACGACCCGCGUCAGAAGUAGUCAGGCGAGGAGGAGGGUAAAGGAAUCCACGUCCCAAGCAGAGAAGCAGCUUUCCCUACACAGCACAGGACACGGUCCGCGCACAGAAGCCGCAGGAGACGCAGGCACAGGGGCUGGGGAGAAUCCUUGCUGGGCCCUCGCCGUCCAUGCGCCGCCUCCCUCUGCCCGGUGUCUGGUGUCAGCCUCCUGCCUGGCAGAGGAACUCCAGCCCCUGCUCCCCGAAGCUCCUCCAGGCCUUCUGCUUCCCUGACUCGGAAUGGGCCCGCUGUCCAGUGGGUACAAGGCUGGUCUCCCCGCCCACUGGUGACGACGUAAAGAUCCAGCUCAGCCUGGUUUCCCCUGGUGAUGAUAUCUUGCGACUCGUCUUUCUCCAGGAAAACAGGGACCGCUCUCCGCCUACAGAUCUCUUCAACUACCUGUGAAAACUGAUGUGAUGAAAAGGGGAAUUUGAAGGAGCCAUUCCAGAAGACAGGGCGAAAACUGAAGUGCAAUCAGGGCCAAGAAAAACAGAAAUAGCAGGACCUGGAGUUGCAUAGGUUGAAUAGUUGAAUAGGCUGCUCUCCUCAGCUGGCAGGAAACCUGGCAGCCUCCUGGUGCCCAAGGACUGAAAACCUUAGAAGCACCUGGAGUUGGCAGCCUUGGCAUGGUCAGGUUGGCACCUCUGGAGGUGCCCAGGCUUCCCUGGCAGCAUUGUGAGCAGUGGAUGGUGUUGAAGGGCAGCCAGAGGAGGAAUGGAACACAUGCUCCUUGCUAACCACACGGACAAGGCCACGUUCACAGGUACACAAAGGCAACGCAGUUGCUCAGGUGCUUCGGUAUCACAGCCAAGACCCCUUCGGGGGAAGCUAGUCGGAUACUGGGACCCACAUUCCAGACUACUGAGCCGCGGUCGCGCCCUCGGCUCCGUUUCUGCUCCCUCCACCCCACGAGGACGGGGGUGGAAGGCCACCUUCGAUGGGUGCAUCCUCCACGAUGACCUGCUAACAAAGGUGCAUGGAUUUCAGAGUCUGAUUGGCCUACAACAGCAUUUGGCUUGUGGAGACAGUGGUUCCCUGAUGAAAAACUGCCAUGAUGGGAAUAGAAACAAUCAGAGGAAACUUCCGUGAGUUCCCAGGACACAUCCACCCACCUCCUCCACGUGUAACCACCACCUCUACCUUCCCCUCUGGUGCUGUGGAUGAGCCAUCCGUGCUCCUGGCAAAGGCCCACCUGCCACUUGGGCACAGGAACCCAUCCAUCCCUCCUUACCUCUGGUAACUCUCCCUCUCUCUCUCCUGCAUCCUUCAUAUUCUCUGGGUUGUAUUCUCUUCCAGCCCCCACCCCCUGCCCACCUCCAGCAUGUAAAAGUGCUGUUAUUGUUUCCACUUUAAAACAAACCCUAAAAAUAAGUAAAUAAAAUAAACCCUACCCUGACCCCACUUCA
ensembl:lncRNA LINC00910 long intergenic non-protein coding RNA 910